GCGACUAUAGUAUACUGGUUAUUACCUCCGCCUGUGGAGCGGGAGAAGGGAGUUCAAUUCUCCCUAGUCGCC
rnacentral:tRNA from 1 species